AUGAAGAGUUUGAUCCUGGCUCAGGAUGAACGCUAGCUACAGGCUUAACACAUGCAAGUCGAGGGGCAUCAUGGCGGUCGCUUGCGACCGCUGAUGGCGACCGGCGCACGGGUGCGUAACGCGUAUCGAACCUGCCGCAUACCCGGGGAUAGCCUUGCGAAAGCAAGAUUAAUACCCGAUGUUCUCACUGUUCCGCAUGUUACGGUGAGCAAAGAAAUUCGGUAUGCGAUGGCGAUGCGUCCCAUUAGCUAGUUGGCGGGGUAACGGCCCACCAAGGCUCCGAUGGGUAGGGGUUCUGAGAGGAAGGUCCCCCACACUGGAACUGAGACACGGUCCAGACUCCUACGGGAGGCAGCAGUGAGGAAUAUUGGUCAAUGGACGCAAGUCUGAACCAGCCAAGUAGCGUGCAGGAUGACGGCCCUCCGGGUUGUAAACUGCUUUUAGUUGGGAAUAAAAGGGGGCUCGUGAGCCCCGUAUUGUAUGUACCAUCAGAAAAAGGACCGGCUAAUUCCGUGCCAGCAGCCGCGGUAAUACGGAAGGUCCGGGCGUUAUCCGGAUUUAUUGGGUUUAAAGGGAGCGUAGGCCGGCUUUUAAGUCAGCUGUGAAAGUCCGCGGCUCAACCGUGGAAUUGCAGUUGAAACUGGAGGCCUUGAGUGCACACAGGGAUGCCGGAAUUCAUGGUGUAGCGGUGAAAUGCUUAGAUAUCAUGAAGAACUCCGAUCGCGAAGGCAAGUGUCCGGGGUGCAACUGACGCUGAGGCUCGAAAGUGCGGGUAUCAAACAGGAUUAGAUACCCUGGUAGUCCGCACCGUAAACGAUGAAUACUCGUGUCCCGCGAUAUAUUGUGGGACACUUAGCGAAAGCGUUAAGUAUUCCACCUGGGGAGUACGCCGGCAACGGUGAAACUCAAAGGAAUUGACGGGGGCCCGCACAAGCGGAGGAACAUGUGGUUUAAUUCGAUGAUACGCGAGGAACCUUACCCGGGCUUGAAAUGUGCAGGACUCAGGCAGAGACGCCUGUUUCUUCGGACCUGCAUGUAGGUGCUGCAUGGUUGUCGUCAGCUCGUGCCGUGAGGUGUCGGCUUAAGUGCCAUAACGAGCGCAACCCUUCUCCCCGUUUGCCAUCAGUUAAUGCUGGGCACUCCGGGGAUACUGCCAUCGUAAGAUGUGAGGAAGGUGGGGAUGACGUCAAAUCAGCACGGCCCUUACGUCCGGGGCUACACACGUGUUACAAUGGGGGGUACAGAGGGCCGCUAUCCCGCGAGGGUGCGCCAAUCCUCAAAACCUCUCUCAGUUCGGACUGGAGUCUGCAACCCGACUCCACGAAGCUGGAUUCGCUAGUAAUCGCGCAUCAGCCAUGGCGCGGUGAAUACGUUCCCGGGCCUUGUACACACCGCCCGUCAAGCCAUGAAAGCCGGGGGUGCCUGAAGGCCGUAGCCGCGAGGGUCGGCCUAAGGCAAUACCGGUGAUUGGGGCUAAGUCGUAACAAGGUAGCCGUACCGGAAGGUGCGGCUGGAACACCUCCUUU
rnacentral:rRNA from 1 species